CUUGAUUGGCAUUAUUAUUCACGUUAACAACAACAACAAAAACCUAGAAAAGGAAAAGAGAGUUUAAAUCAUUCCUCAUCUUAAAAAAAAAAAAAAGACUCUAAAACCAUGAUAUGUAAUGACAAAAAGCACUAGCUAAAAGUUAUAUGCUAGGAGAUUAUAUAGAAGCAAAGAGAGAAUCAGGAUCAGAUUUUAAGUAAAAUCGUUUCAAGAUUGACCAGAUUAUAUUAUAAAAUAUGGAAAUGUAAUUAUUUACUAACCUCAUUUUAGAUAGUGACCACAGGAAAAAGUCAGGACAGUCAUAACAGAUGGAGCAAAUGAAAGGCCCCCAAAUGUACCUUUGCCAAAUUACUUGUUAUUGGAGGUAGUGUUUGUACAAAAUCAAAUCUGAUCCAUAGAAAGGACUCACUGAGUGUCAGAAGAAAGCAAACUAUGAAUUAGAUUUACUUUAUCUGUUUUUAGAAUGGAAAGAAUUAUAUCAAAAGUUCUUGAGUUUAAAUGAGAUAAUCCUUAGUGAUUUGUGGGACCCUGGACUGGGAGGAUUUCUGAUACUAAAGCCAGGAGAUUUUUUAAAAGAUGGCAUAUGUAACUGUAUUAUGUGUGUUUUCUUUGUGUUUAAAUUACAUCACAUUCAUUUGUCAUCGAACAUGUGAAGAUAGAUGUUUGCAAACACUGAGAUGCUAACUUUAAAAAAGUCCACAGGUCAUCAGUUUUUUCUAAUAUUAA
rnacentral:lncRNA from 1 species